rnacentral:rRNA from 1 species
UACGUAGGGUGCGAGCGUUAAUCGGAAUUACUGGGAGUAAAGCGUGCGCAGGCGGUUUUGUAAGCCAGAUGUGAAAUCCCCGGGCUUAACCUGGGAAUGGCAUUUGGGACUGCAAGGCUUGAGUGCGGCAGAGGAGACUGGAAUUCCCGGUGUAGCAGUGAAAUGCGUAGAUAUCGGGAGGAAUACCGAUGGCGAAGGCAGGUCUCUGGGCUGACACUGACGCUCAUGCACGAAAGCGUGGGGAGCAAACAGG